rnacentral:lncRNA from 1 species
UGAGAAUCGCUUGAACCCGAGAGUAAGAAGUUGCAGUCAGCUGAGAUCAUGCCACUGCACUCCAGCCUGGGGGACAUAGCAAAACACCAUAAAAACAAAACAAAACAAAACAAAACAAAAACCUGCUAUUGGAUUUAGGGUCCACCCCGAUAAUCCAGGAUGAGUUCUUCUGAGUUCUUCACCUAGAGAUCCUUCACUCCGUUCUUUACUCUGCUGUAGACUGAAUGUGUAUAUCCCCCUAAAAUUCAUUAUUUGAAAUCCUAACCCCAAAUGUGAUGGUAUUAGGAGGUGGGGCCCUUGGGGGGCGAUUAGUUCAUGAGGACAGAGCCCUUGAGAACGGGAUUAGUGCUUUUAUAAAAGAGGUCUGAGGGAGCUUGGUUGCUCCCUCCACCAUAUGAAGACAAAACAACAAGUCGGCGUCUGUGAACCUGGAAAGUGGCCCUCACCAGACACCAAACCUGCCAGCAACUUCUUCUUGCAUUUCCCAGCCUCCAGAUCUGUAAAAAAUAAUUUUCCAUUGUUUAUAAAUUGCCCAGUUUGUGGUAUUUUGUUAUAAUAGCACAAACGGAGUAAGACAUCCAUGGAUGUGACCCUUUUUCCAAAUAAGGUCACAUUCAGCGGUUCUAGGGGUUAGGAGGUGGAAAUAUAUUUUGGGGGCCAUCGUUCAGCCCACGACAAGCAAUGAUGCAUCUGAAAGGCCUGGUGUGGGAGAAGGGGUCACUACUUACUUGUGCUUCUUUUUGUGCAAUGCACUAUCAUUUCUGGCCUGUGGAUCUAUAGUCAUCAAGCCUGGGAGCGUGUGGCUGGCUACAUCACCUCUCAUGUCUCUGCUGAAGGGCCUUCAUGUUUCAGAGGAGUCUUUCAUCAUGUUGGGGAUCAACUCAAAGCUGUUGUCUGGACAGAGGUGGGUGGAAAGACAGCAGAGGCCCAGCAGGUGUGAAAUGACCUAUGGGCAGGUGGAUUUGCCCACAUCUCCUCGGAGCAUGGGGUCAGUCUGGGAACACAGAUGCCUGCAUGUAGAGUGCUGUGUCAGGAUCUAUGGCCUCCCCUCAGGGUGUUGAAUGUCUUUGACACCUGCUAGGGCAGGAGGAAGCACUACAGUCAUCAAAGAGAAAGUGGAGGCUCAGCAGAUGCUGAAUGAGUAUGAUGCCUGCGGAGUCUGUUAUUCCCAGGUUUCCUAAGCCGUGUGCUGCUGAGGCCUGAAGGGAGGCAGGGAUAUAAAGAAUGGACAUGAACUGGUCCCCAGAUGGAACUCUCUGCUCUGUCUGUCUCUGGGCUUCCUCGUUUAAUCAGGAGACAGUUGGGAGAAUGCAAGACUUCUGUGAGCCUAUGAAAACAUAGGCCUCAGUAAUGGGGCAGCUAGGGAGUUCCAGGUCCCAGUCUCCUGGUCAGCACCUGUAAGGAUCCAUGCUUUCCUCCUGGUCUUGUGGAUUGACUUCCUAUCAGGAUUUCUGAGCCUAGAGUCUCUCCUGAGGAAUUUCCAAAGCCUACAACUCAACGGCAUAUCAUUAGCUGAUCUUAACCUGCUACUACUAUGUUGGGCUCAAGUGACUGCUUUCCUUUUACAAUCAUUGUCUUCUUUGACAGAUGAGAAAAUUGAGGCACAGAGAGCUCAAGAAGCUUGCUCCCAAUCACAGAGCUGAUAAGUAGCAGAUCCAAGAUGCAAAUCCAGGUGAUCUGCCCCCAAGGCUCACACUCCCAGCUACUGCACACAGAACCUCAGAAGCCCAUGCUUCUGGCACAGCUGUGCUGCAAUGAGUUUGUCAUCAGCUCUCAAGAUAAUCGUGGCAUCAGACACAUGGAGAUGUUAACCCUACCGCAAGAAUCCAACUCAUUAGUGAGGCCACCAAUUCCACUGAAAACCCUGGAUGCCCUUUUCCAGGAAGCAUCUGCCUGCCCUCUCAUGAAAUAACUCUCUCCUCCCUCUUUCCUUCCCUCCCUCACCAUCCCGACCCACACCCGAUUUCCCAGAUAGACUUCUUUCAAAGAACUUUCUGUGUCAUUCUGUUCAUAAUGUAAAGAAAAAUAAAUUAAAAUAGGACUACUUCUUUUGUCCCAGAGAUUAGUCUAUAAAGAUUGGCCUUUGUAACAUGAAGAAAGGACAGAGCUCAUGAAAAGUUCAAAAGAGGUGAUUCCCAUAUGAGCUAAAAUUUUUAAAAGUCAUGCAGUGGGGAGGGCCAUAUGAUGGGA